UACGAAGGGGGCUAGCGUUGCUCGGAAUCACUGGGCGUAAAGGGUGCGUAGGCGGGUUUUUAAGUCAGGGGUGAAAUCCUGGAGCUCAACUCCAGAACUGCCUUUGAUACUGAAGAUCUUGAGUCCGGGAGAGGUGAGUGGAACUGCGAGUGUAGAGGUGAAAUUCGUAGAUAUUCGCAAGAACACCAGUGGCGAAGGCGGCGCACUGGCCCGGUACUGACGCUGAGGCACGAAAGCGUGGGGAGCAAACAGG
rnacentral:rRNA from 1 species